rnacentral:rRNA from 1 species
UACAGGGGGGGGCAAGCGUUGUUCGGAAUUACUGGGCGUAAAGGGCUCGUAGGCGGCCAACUAAGUCACACGUGAAAUCCCCAGGCUUAACCUGGGAACUGCGUGUGAUACUGGAUGGCUUGAAUCCGGGAGAGGGAUGCAGAAUUCCAGGUGUAGCGGUGAAAAUGCGUAGAUAUCUGGAGGAAUACCGGUGGCGAAGGCGGCAUCCUGGACCGGCAUUGACGCUGAUGAGCGAAAGCUAGGGGAGCAAACGGG